ACUCCUACGGGAGGCAGCAGUGGGGAAUAUUGGACAAUGGGCGAAAGCCUGAUCCAGCAAUGCCGCGUGUGUGAAGAAGGCCUUAGGGUUGUAAAGCACUUUCAGCAGGGAAGAAAAGCUUGGGCUAAUACCCGGCCGUGCAUCGGUACCUGCAGAAGAAGCACCGGCUAACUCCGUGCCAGCAGCCGCGGUAAUACGGAGGGUGCAAGCGUUAAUCGGAAUUACUGGGCGUAAAGCGCGCGUAGGUGGUUCGGUAAGUCGGGUGUGAAAGCCCGG
rnacentral:rRNA from 1 species